CAACCCUGUGAGAGGCAAGAGUCCCUGUCCCGUGGCAAAGCUGUUGGAGUCACCCCAGCUGAAGGCCCAGACAGCAUGGAACAGAAAGGAGCUGUCAGACUGCAGAUUCUCUGCAAAAUACAAGACAAUUGUCAUUAGGAGUUGGGAAAGCUGGCUUGUUCUGGGGUUGAAGAAAACAAACCAACGCACGCCUCACCAGACUAUGGAAUGGAAGUGAGGAUGCCUCCACCACCAUAAUGAUCAGAGACGUUAAGAAUGCUGCCUGGUGUCACAGAGGAGGUCACAGAACAGAGACCAUUGGAGCUGAGUAUGGUCUAAUUAACCUCUUCCAUUUUACAGCCAAGGCGCCAAGAGAGAAAGUGACUUGACCAAUGUCAAGCCACAGUGAAUUGUGUUUUCGCCUGUUAGAUCAGAAAUGUGGCCGGCUGUCGGGUGACUUCUCCACCCUGUGCACUAACUUUUGGACCACAGCAUCAUCACUGGGCUCAUGGCAGGCAGUCAGCAGAGUGGAACAGAGCCUACGCAGGCUGCUAACAGAGCCCUUGGCACGCUACUUGAAAAUUGGAUUUGCCACAUUCUCGGUAAAAGAAGUUUGAGUGUCCCACUGGGCAGGCUGUCAAUAUCCCAUUAGCCAGGCAGCCCAUUGGAGCAGCAAGGCCUCUUGGUGGGCCCCGGUCUGCAUGAGCGAAGGUGAGCUCUGCAGCAUGGGGCACAAGCAAAGAGCUGACUCUUUGCAUCUGUUUCCAUAAUUGAUAUUUCUGCAUCCAGUUAAAGAAAGAAAGAAAUGCCUGUUCACCUGAGUUAGAAAAUUAUAUAUCCCUACUGUUUUC